UACCUGGUUGAUUCUGCCAUUAGUCAUAUGCUUGUCUCAAAGAUUAAGCCAUGCAUGUCUAAGUAUAAGCAAUUAUACCGUGAAACUGCGAAUGGCUCAUUAAAUCAGUUAUCGUUUAUUUGAUAGUACCUUACUACUUGGAUAACCGUGGUAAUUCUAGAGCUAAUACAUGCUGAAAACCCCAACUUCGGGAGGGGUGUAUUUAUUAGAUAAAAAACCAACGCCCUUCGGGGCUUCUUGGUGAUUCAUGAUAACUUUACGGAUCGCAUGGCCUUGCGCCGGCGACGGUUCAUUCAAAUUUCUGCCCUAUCAACUUUCGAUGGUAAGGUAUUGGCUUACCAUGGUUUCAACGGGUAACGGGGAAUUAGGGUUCGAUUCCGGAGAGGGAGCCUGAGAAACGGCUACCACAUCCAAGGAAGGCAGCAGGCGCGCAAAUUACCCAAUCCCGACACGGGGAGGUAGUGACAAUAAAUACUGAUACAGGGCUCUUUUGGGUCUUGUAAUUGGAAUGAGUACAAUUUAAACCUCUUAACGAGGAACAAUUGGAGGGCAAGUCUGGUGCCAGCAGCCGCGGUAAUUCCAGCUCCAAUAGCGUAUAUUAAAGUUGUUGCAGUUAAAAAGCUCGUAGUUGAAACUUGGGUCUGGCUGGCAGGUCCGCCUCACCGCGUGUACUUGUCCGGCCGGGCCUUCCUUCUGGAGAACCUCAUGCCCUUCACUGGGCGUGUUGGGGACCAGGACUUUUACUUUGAAAAAAUUAGAGUGUUCAAAGCAGGCCUUUGCUCGAAUACGUUAGCAUGGAAUAAUAGAAUAGGACGUGCGGUUCUAUUUUGUUGGUUUCUAGGACCGCCGUAAUGAUUAAUAGGGACAGUCGGGGGCAUCAGUAUUCAAUUGUC
rnacentral:rRNA from 1 species